CAACAGGGAUUGCCUCAGUAACUGCGAGUGAAGCGGCAAAAGCUCAAAUUUGAAAUCUGGCUCCUUCGGGGUCCGAGUUGUAAUUUGGAGGGGCAUCUUCGGGAUCGGCGCCGUCCUAAGUUCCUUGGAACAGGACGUCACAGAGGGUGAGAAUCCCGUGCCUGGGCGGCUGCCCGAUUCCAUGUGAAGUGCCUCCGACGAGUCGAGUUGUUUGGGAAUGCAGCUCAAAAUGGGUGGUAAAUUUCAUCUAAAGCUAAAUAUUGGCGAGAGACCGAUAGCGCACAAGUAGAGUGAUCGAAAGAUGAAAAGCACUUUGAAAAGAGAGUUAAAAAGUACGUG
rnacentral:rRNA from 1 species